ACGGCGCACUGGUGCGGCUUCUCCCCUGCGGAAGACAGGGCGGGCCGCGAACGCAAGUCAGACUCUACAGCUCCCCGCCCCCACCCCACCCCACCCCCACCUGGGCUCCUGGACCUAGCAGGGGCUCCCCUCCCCUCCCGAACCACCACCCCGGGAUCCCUUGCCUAUCAGAGAACCCUCCCCUCACUAUGGGAUCUUCCUGCCCAGCAGGGACACCCCCUCCUCUCCAGGACCUCCCUUCACGUUGGGACUUUCCUGCCCAACAGGGAUCCUCAUACACUGUGAGGUACCCCUCUCCCAUCCCUUCCUGGCAGGGACCCCCUUUCUGUUAUCCUGGGAUAUCACUGUGACAGGGCACCCCUAAAUCCAGCAAGCACCCUGUCUGCAAGGAACCCAGCCUGUCUGGAACAUCUGUUGGCCAUCUGGACUGCCCACUGGGAUCUCCCUCUACCCUCAGGUUUAACUCUCCGAUGAGAGAUUGCUCCCUCUCCUCCCCCGCCCUGGCUCACCCGAGUGGAUGAACAUGUGCUUGGUGUAGUUUUUCCGGGAGCUGAACGUCUUGCGACAGUGGCUGCACUCAUACGCACCAGGCUCUGCCGUGGCCGCUUCCUCCUGACCGACUACAAGGCCGCACUUCCGGGCCGUUACCCCGGCGGAACGGAGGCCUGCGGUCGCGGCGGCGCAGGGGAAACCCUAGGCCGAAGCACGUUUCCGGUAUUUUUAUGGCGAUCAGCUCCCGCCAGUCUGCACUCCGGCUCUCCUCUUAGUCGGAACCAAAGUCGAAGAGGCUAGGGCUGCCGCGUCGCGAGGAAUGUCUGGACCAGAGCACUCUUCCGGCGUCGCCCAGGAGAUCAGGGGUGUGGCGGGCCUGCGCGAUCAAUCCGCAAGCUCCCUGUGAUGCAGAAUGGGAAGGCAGUUCCCGGCCCAAGUGCCCAACGUGUUCUGGCCAGUUUAAACCCCACUGCGAACCGGGGAAGUGGCCUUAUUCCUGUGACACGGGUGAGAGCUGAAGUAGGUCUCGGUCCCUGGCCGCCAGGAGGUGCAAGCAAGCUACCACUACUGCAGACGCUCCAGGCCCGCCCGCUGUGGGUGGGACUGGGGAAAGGACCCCAUCUCGGCCUUGGCACCUUCUACUACAACGCAGACAGGAAUAGACAACUGCCUCACCCUGCUCUGGGCCUCCCCUGAGCUAGACCCUGUGAGAUUCUGGGACAUUGCAAGUCAAUCUGGUAUGGGGGACAGAAUUCCGAAAAUGGCCCCCUCCGAGAUUUCCGUGCCCAAAUCCCCAGAACCUGUAAAUAUGAUUAUCUCACCUAUGAAUAGUUACACUACAUGGUGAAAGGGUUUUUGCGGAAAUAAUUAAGGUUACUCAUUAGCUGAUCUUAAAAUAGGAUAUGAUUCUGGAUUAUUUUGGUAGGUCCAAGGUAUCAUAAGGGUCCUUAAAGGCAGAAGAGGAAGGUGGAGAAACUUGAAGUAGGAGAAGGGUUCCAGAGGCUUUGAAGGUAGAGAGGUCCAUGAGAGGAAAUGCAACAGGACAGGUGUCAUGCUGAGAAUCUGAGAAGAGCUGCAACAACAGCCAGCAAGAAAACAGACCUCAUGGCCCGGCGCAGUGGCUCAUGCCUGUAAUCCCAGCACUUUGGGAGGCCAAGGCGGGUGGAUCACGUCAGGAGAUCGAGACCAUCCUGACUAACACAGUGAAACCCCAUCUCUACUAAAAAUACAGAAAAUUAGCUGGGCGUGGUGGCAGGCGCCUGUAGUCCCAGCUACUCGGGAGACUGAGGCAGGAGACUGGCAUGAACCCGGGAGGCGGAGCUUGAAGUGAGCUGAGAUCGCGCCACUGCACUCCAGCCUGGGCGACAGAACGAGACUCCGUCUCAAAAAAAAAAAAAAAAAAAAAAAAAAAAAAAGGCCGGGCGCGGUGGCUCACGCCUGUAAUCCCAGCACUGUGGGAGGCCGAGGCGGGCGGAUCAUGAGGUCAGGAGAUCGAGACCAUCCUGGCUAACACGGUGAAACCCCGUCUCUACUAAAAAUACAAAAAAAAAUUAGCCGAGCGCGGUGGCAGGCGCCUGUAGUCCCAGCUACUCAGGAGGCUGAGGCAGGAGAAUGGCGUGAACCCGGGAGGCGGAGCUUGCAGUGAGCCAAGAUAGCGCCACUGCAGUCGGGCCUGGGCGAAAGAGCGACACUCAGUCUCAAAAAAAAAAAAAAAAAAGAAAGAAAGAAAAGAAAACAGACCUUAGCCCUAGAAGUGCGUGGAGCUAGAUUCCGCCCACAACCUGAAUGAGCUUGGAAGCAAAUUCUUCCCCAGAGCCUCCAGAUAGCAGCUUAGUCCAUACCACACCUUGAUUUUAGCCUUUAUGAGACCCACAGAAGACCUACUUGGGCUUCUGACCUAUGGAAUGGUGAGCUAAUAAAUGGAUAUUGUUUUAACCUAUGGAGUUUUGGUAAUUUGUUAUAGUAACGAUAGAAAACAAAUACAUCUGGUGAGAUCCAGGGCCUCCACACAGUGAGAGUCCAAUAAAUGCCACUAUUUGUUUCCCAUCUGAUGAACGCAUUCCUCACAUUUCCCUCACUGAAAGCUUUAUUUCUGUGCCUUCCCAGCUUUUACCAGGCCCCUUCGUGAUCUCAUUCCUCAGGGAGCAGUUCUCACUUCCCCUAUCCCAGAGGACAGAGGGACUCGGCAGUGAAAGAGGGAACCAACUGUCCAAACGCAUGACUAGAACAAAGCCUCCAGAAGACAGACAGGGUCAGGAUGCCUGUCCUUCACCCAGGACAGCUACUGGGUGAUUGUGUUGUAGAUGUG
rnacentral:lncRNA from 1 species